rnacentral:tRNA from 1 species
GCCCGGGUGGCGGAAUUGGCAGACGCUGGGGACUUAAAAUCCCUUGUCCGAAAGGACGUGCGGGUUCGAGCCCCGCCUCGGGUA